rnacentral:tRNA from 1 species
AGAAAUUUAGGUUAACACCUUAAACCAAGGACCUUCAAAGCCCUAAACAGGGAACACAACUCCCUAAUUUCU